rnacentral:rRNA from 1 species
AAAAUUUAAAUUAAAUGGAUAAAAAGAAUGCCUAGGUACUUUAAGACGAAGAAGGACGUAAUUUUAAAAUAUACGAAAAACUUAUUUAUUAAUUAUAAAUAAGAUUUCCGAAUGGGGGAACCUUUUAAAUUUUUUUUAAUAAAAAAGAAUUACUUGAGGAACUGAAUCAUCUUAGUACUCAAAGGAAAUGAAAAUAACAAUUAAUUUCCUUAGUAGUGGCGAACGAAAUGGAAUAAAAAAUAGUAUAUAUUUAGUUAAAAGUAUAUAUAAACAUCUGGUUUAUAUUGAAGAAACAAGAAUUUCCUUGUAAAACUAAAUACUUUAAAGUAACCGAUAGUGUACUAGUACCGUGAGGGAAAGGUGAAAAGAACCCCGGGAGGGGAGUGAAAAGAAUCUGAAAUUUUAAUCCUAAAAACAAUAGAAGGGCAAAGAGCCUAACUAUGUGCCUGUUGAAGAAGGAACCGAUAAGUUUUGGUAUUUAAGCAAAAGGUUAAAAUAAAACAUGUAACCAUAGUGAAAACGAGUUAUUAUAUUUUAGAAAGAUAAUAGCAUUUGUAUAUUACCAAAAACCCGAAUCCAAUUGAUCUAAUCUUGUUUAGAAUGAAAUAUAAAUAAAUUUAUAUGGAAGUUCGAACUGGUUAAUGUUUCAAAAUUAUCAGAUGAAAUGAGAUUAGUGGUGAAAUGCCUAUCGAAAUUGGAGCUAGCUGGUUCUCCUCGAAAUGUAUUUAGGUACAGCUAUUAUAAUAAAUAUAAAAAGGGUAAAGCACUACAAAUUUUUUAUUUGUAAACUAAUAAUAUUUUUAUAUUAAAUUUAUAAUAAGUGAGACUUUUAGGGAAAAUCUUAUAAGUCAAAAGGGAAACAACCCAGAUCAUUAAUUAAGAUAAUAUUAUAAAUAAUUUAAAAAGGAUGUAGAAUUGUUACAAAUACAAUCAGAAGGUUAUCUUAGAAGCAGUUUUCCUUUAAAAAGUGCGUAAAAGCUUACUGAUAAAGUAAUUCUGCACCUAAAAUUAAUAAUUAAAUAUUAUUUUAUCGAAAUAAUGAGAUCUAUUUUAAAUUUAAAUAGAUCGGUAGAGGAGCGUUCUAUAUUAAAAUAAAGCAAAGUUAUUAAAUUUUGUUAAUAAAAUAGAAGUGAGAAUGUCGGUUUAAGUAACUUAAAUAUUAAGAAAAAUCUAAUACCUCUAAAACUUUAAGGGUUCCUAUGAAAGGAUAUACCGCAUAGGGUUAGUCUAGACCUAAAAUAAGAAAUUUAUUGUAAUUGAUGGUAAUCAAGUUAAUAUUCUUGAACCAUAUUUAUAUAUUUACAAUUAGUGACCUAAAUUAAAUUUUUAAAUAAUUAAUAAUAUAUUAUAUGAUUUUUUAUUUAAAAAAAAAUUUAGCUAGAAAAAUGAUAUUGUAUAAAUAUAAAUAAUGCUAGUACCAAAACUAACACAAGUAAGUAAGUAUUUAAAAUACUAAGAGGACGAAAUAAUUUUUUUUAAGGAACUAGGCAAAACAAUCUUGUAACUUCGGGAUAAAAGAUGCCUAUAAGGCUGCAAUUAAAAAAUUCAAGCGACUGUUUAUCAAAAACACAAGUAUCCGCAAAAUAUAAUUAUGAAGUAAGGAUACUGACACCUGCCCAGUGCUAGUAAGUUAAUAAAAAUUUUUAUGUAAUACAAAUAAUUUUUUUAUAAGCUCUAGUAAACGGCGGCUGUAACUAUAACGGUCCUAAGGUAGCGAAAUUCAUUGUCGGGUAAGUUCCGACCAGCACGAAAGGUGUAACGACUUGAAUACUGUCUUUAAAAAAAUUUCGGUGAAAUAGAAAUGUUUGUAAAGAUACAAACUUUUUACAUCUGGACAGAAAGACCCUAUGAAGCUUUACUGCGAAUUAAAAUUGAAUUUAAUUUUUAUUUAUAUAGUGUAAGUGGGAAAUAUUUUUUAUUAUUAAUGAAACACCACUUUAAUAUAAAUUAAAUUCUAAUUAUAAUUUUUUUAUCAUAUUAUAUAAAAAUUUUAAUAAGGUAGUUUAACUGGGGCGGUUGCCUCCUAAAUAGUAACGGAGGUGUACAAAGGUUUUUUUUAUUAAUAUACAUAAUAAAUUAUAUUAAUAGAUAUAAAGGUUAAGUAGUAAAAAAGCUUGAUUGUAAGAGCUACUGUUCAAACAAGGACGAAAGUCUGUCUUAAUGAUCCGACAAAAUCUAAGUGAUAGGAUUGUCGAUUAACGGAUAAAAGUUACUCUAGGGAUAACAGGCUGAUCUCUCCCGAUAGUCCAUAUUGACGGGGAGGUUUGGCACCUCGAUGUCGGCUCGUCGCAUCCUGAGGCUGUAGCAGGUCUCAAGGGUUGGUCUGUUCGCCCAUUAAAGCGGCACGUGAGCUGGGUUCAGAACGUCGUGAGACAGUUCGGUCCGUAUCCGAUGUAAACGUAAGAAUAUUGUAAAGUAUUUCCUUUAGUACGAGAGGACCAAGGAAAUUAAACCUAUAGUAGUUCAGUUAUUUUAUCAAAAGUAUGUUGCUGAAUAGCUAAGUUUAAUAAAAAUAACUACUGAAAGCAUAUAAGUAGGAAAAAACUUUAAGAUUAAUAUUCUGUUCAUUAAUAUAAAAUUUAAAUAAAUGAGUAAGAAUUUAAAAAGAAUAUUUAUUAAAAAGAAAAAUUGUGUAAAAAUAGUAAUAUUUUUAGCAAAUUUUUACUAUUAAUUCGAAAUUAAAUUUUUU